CUUAAGAUCACCUGGGAAUCUUGUUAAAAUACAAAUUCUGAUUCUAUAGGUCUGAGGUAGGAUCUGAGAUUCUGCAUUUCUAACAAGCUCCCAGGUGACGCUGAU
rnacentral:pre_miRNA from 1 species